CACGGCGGGAGCGCCGGUAGAACGGGCCCUGCACGGCGUGAGGGUGGAAGACCUGUAAGGUUUCCUGCAAGGGGCAACCCUAGAAUACCGAUUUCAGUCUUUUCAUUCUACGCAAGCACCUUAAAAGCCUGGGCGCUGUGGCUGCAUGUCUGUCAUACUCCAGCCUUUGUAUCAGGGCCGUGAACACUGCCUCAGAAAUAGGGCAUUGGAGAUAGCAGCUUCCUAAGUAGUGAUUCUGUGCUGCUCACAGAGGAUUUACCCGUGCCAAAUACCUGGGUUAUAUUUAGAAGAAGACUUCAAACAACCUUCACCUCAGCUCAUACAAAAUGCCCUCGGAUGGAAGUCAAGCACUGCACAAAUCAGGAGUCACUUUCGGGGUAGCAUUGUGCAAACCGUGCAGCACGGCUGGCAUCGGCUUCAGCUCAGUGACAGACACGUCCCCAUCACAGCCAGCAUCCCACCCCUCCCAGAACCACCUGCAGCACCACCCUUUCCUUUACGCCUUCUAAGUUGUUGCCCAGGACAUUUUAUUAGCUCUGCUCAGCUGUACAGCACAAAGAAUGCAUAUUUCUUCUUCUGCAUAGUGUUGUCUUUACCAGUAAAAUUUAGCUGGGGCUUGAUGUUCAGAAGGGUGAAGAGAUUAUGAGAGAAGGGAAUAACCCAGGCCAGCUGUGUAUAUUCUGACUGCUCAUUUAAGCAAAGGCAAGGAAAGCAGUCUGGCUGCAAAAAGUAAAAUAUUACAGGCUAUAUCAUAAGGUUUGGAUGUGAACAUAUGUACACAAUGCUUCUUUCACAGGAUUCCUGCUGUAAACUUUGUCCUUUACCGGGUGAUUCAAUCCUCUGUAAUGAAAAAGCUGCCCCCACUCUGAACUUUACUGUUUUUUUUUUUUUCUUUCCAAAGAAUACUAAGAGACUAAAACAAAAGACACAAGAAAGUAUACUCCAACUUGUGCUCAAAGAAUCUUUCUUGGAAAAUGAAAAGCCAUGGUACCAUUGGGAUCAGCCAUUGAAAGGCACUGAAACUUUGCCACAGCCUUCACAGCUGCUACAGAAGUUCAUUUGAUACAGCGCUGCAUUCCCUGUAUGGUUAAUUCACACUUCUCUGGAAGAAUAUAAACCUUCUAGAGCAAAAUGUGCUGAGGAUGGCUUUCAGCUGCCACGUUCUUACCUAAAGCCAAGUGCUUUGGAAGUGCAGUACAGGGAGAAAAAAAUACUUCCUAAGCUCUCUCAUAACACUGAAGAAAAAAUAUUGUGAGACUUGGACCAAACUCCUUGAGAAACAGAUCCACUGUGAAUUUUUCCCUGUUUUCCUGCAUGUAAAUCAUUCCAAAAAGGUACAGCUACAUUGACAAGAUGAAGGAGAAUGAGACAAAACAGAGAGUAGAUGAAGUCAGCCCAUGCAUUGAAAGUGAGCCAAAUCGUGAAGGUGACUCAUUAUGAAGAUGUAAACAAUCACGGUUGGUGACUCAGUGGUGAGGAAGCUUGGCUAAGACAUCUGUAGUCCAUAUAAAGAAAACAGGAUGAUGAGAUUUCUCUGGGGUAUAGUGAACACAACUGAGUAAUUGCUUAGUGGCUUUGUGAAAACUAUCAAAUAUAUAACAUCAGAGAUGUUCUGCAUUAGACAGAGAAGCACUUUGCACACAGCAACUAAGUACCAACUUUGAGAAUUAUCAAGCCUUUGGUUCCUGCUGUUCACAGAAAGCUGCAGAUGGCUGCCUCAGCAGGAAGCCCUUCCCCCUUCCUUAAUGGAACUCGUGGGAAUGCGGGGAUCCUGGAACCGAAGCCCUCCUUCCCUUCCAAACCUCCUCUCCAAACCCCUACUGAGUAAAAGGAAAAAAAUCCCUACAUCCCUGGAAACAUUUUUGCCAGCCUGUUUUUCAGUAAAAACUUAAAUUAACCACUUCACUCCUGAUUAUAAUAAAGAUUUGUUAUUGAAACAG